AAACAAUAUAUGAAAAUUUUAGGUUUUGCAAUUGAACAAUUGAUAUUUGAAGAGAUUUGUAGAAUGGAUAAAAGCUAUCCUUGGUUAUGCAGGUUAGAGCCCAAAUGACCACCCAAUAAAAAAUGCCUAAUGCUAAGAAAAACCCUAGUCUACCUCAAAAAUCUGUGUGGUAAACUAGUACAAUUACGUGGUAGAUUUAUUGAGAUGAGUAUGCUGAUACUAGUUUGAGGUUCCUAAAUUCCAAACGACAUUGGAUUCUAAAAGACACUGCAGUCCAAUUGAUCUGGUCGGUAUAAUUAUCUUAAUUGAUUUUGCCCUAUUGUUGAAAGAAGAGGACAUAGUUCAAAGCAGUGUUUGAACGAGUUGAAUGGUAAAGAGAGACUCCAGAAUCGAUUCUGGCCUACUUUUUAAUUUUUUAAUCGACAUAUAUAUAGCUUAGUAAAAGAAACCAUCAAAUUAUGUUUCUGUAAUAAACUAAUAAUUCAAAAUGGCUCAUUUCUUUUAUUUUGCUUUUGUCAACUUUUCAUGCAUAUCUAACUGAAAGAAGGAUUGG
rnacentral:misc_RNA from 1 species